GAUAUUCGCAUCCAAGUUAAAAACCUACGUCACAAGUCAUCACUACUCCUUGGAAAGAUUUACCUCUUACAAUACACACACAGUCAUUCACAUGACAAGAAAAUAACCUUAUAAAGCCCUCUGUGUUAUUUAAGGUAAACCUUAAGUCAAAAGUUUAGUUAGAGGAAAGACAAACACGCACACCCAGAGGAAAGUUUUAUUGCUCAGAGGGUGUUUUUCAUAACUCUGGAGACUAAGUGUGUCAUUUCUGUGCCUAGCAUCACCAAACAGAAUUGCAAAAUAGGGACUGGUUUUAAACGAAACAUUCUCCCUGUUCGCUAUUGGUCAGACAAACAAACAGCCCGCCCCCAAAGUCAUGCCAUUGGCUGAGCCCUUACUGAAAGAGAUGUCAUAACUACACACAUUUUGCAUGUAUGUGUCACGUAUACAACUUCUCUAUUUACUUUAUAGUAAAUAUAUAUACACAUUAUUGCUCCUAUACUAUUACACUGAAUGGAUAAGACAGUCUUAAUUUUACAUAGGCUUAACCACACAUGUGUAUAAAAAAACAUUGCAUUAGUUCACAAUGUUAACUCAAUGUUGAAUCAGCUUGAUGUAGCUCAUCACAUUGACUAUAAACACUAUAUUUUAAUAAUAUAUUCCACUAAAUAUUGUCUUCAAUUUUGGUGCUAAAUCUAUUGAUUUAUCAUUACAAAAACAUUUAGCUUGAUUGUGCUUUUUCUGUAAAAGGAAUCCAUCAUUUGGUGUUUUGCUCCAAAUAAAGUGCAGUGACAUUGAUGCAUUUCACAUGUUCAGACUUUUGGUCUUUAAAGUAAAUGUUUAUGCUUUAAUGUAUAUAGGAGAACCAGCAUUUCUUUUUGUCUUAUCUUACAGGGAGAACAAGGUCCUGUCGGAGAAGCUGGAGCCAAAGGCUAUCCUGGCAGGCAGGGUUUACCUGGUCCGAUAGGGCCUGUUGGGCCGAAAGGGGCUCGGGUGUGUACACGUCUUCUUCCCGUUUGAUGUAUGAUUGCAUCUCACAGCGCUGUCAUUGUGACAUUUGAGCGGGCCUAUAGUUACCGUUGCUAGGUUAUUUGCAUUGUUUUGAGAGCUAAUGUCAAGUGUUUCGACCUUGACUCCAGAGGAGAGAUUUUUACUACUACAGCUUCUCUUUUCUUUCAUCCCCCUGGUUUUUCCUCUUUCUGUUUUUUGAGUCAACAGAGACUCAAGCAUGACAAAUUUGCUGCUGACAGCUGCCGGAGCCAUAAGUGUGCGUUUAUGUGUGUUUUUAGCCUCCUAC
rnacentral:lncRNA from 1 species